UCGGGUCGUAAAACUCUGUCCUCAAGGAAGAUAAUGACGGUACUUGAGGAGGAAGCCCCGGCUAACUACGUGCCAGCAGCCGCGGUAAUACGUAGGGGGCUAGCGUUAUCCGGAGUUACUGGGCGUAAAGGGUGCGUAGGCGGUCUUUCAAGUCAGGAGUGAAAGGCUACGGCUCAACCGUAGUAAGCUCUUGAAACUGGGAGACUUGAGUGCAGGAGAGGAGAGUGGAAUUCCUAGUGUAG
rnacentral:rRNA from 1 species